UACGGAGGGUGCGAGCGUUGUUCGGAAUUACUGGGCGUAAAGCGCGUGUAGGCGGCUACCUAAGUCUGGUGUGAAAUCCCGGGGCUUACCCCCGGACGUGCAUCCGAAACGAGCGCACUGGAGUACGGGAGAGGAGCGCGGAAUUCCCGGAGUAGAGGUGAAAUUCGUAGAUAUCGGGAGGAACACCAGUGGCGCAGGCGGCGCUCUGGACCGUGACUGACGCUGAGACGCGAAGGCGUGGGUAGCAAACAGG
rnacentral:rRNA from 1 species